GACGAACGCUGGCGGCGUGCUUAACACAUGCAAGUCGAACGGAAAGGCCCUGCUUGCAGGGUACUCGAGUGGCGAACGGGUGAGUAACACGUGGGUGAUCUGCCCUGCACUUCGGGAUAAGCCUGGGAAACUGGGUCUAAUACCGGAUAGGAGCCAUUUUUAGUGUGAUGGUUGGAAAGUUUUUUCGGUGUAGGAUGAGCUCGCGGCCUAUCAGCUUGUUGGUGGGGUAAUGGCCUACCAAGGCGGCGACGGGUAGCCGGCCUGAGAGGGUGGACGGCCACAUUGGGACUGAGAUACGGCCCAGACUCCUACGGGAGGCAGCAGUGGGGAAUAUUGCACAAUGGGCGAAAGCCUGAUGCAGCGACGCCGCGUGGGGGAUGACGGCCUUCGGGUUGGAAACUCCUUUCGCUAGGGACGAAGCUUUUUGUGACGGUACCUAGAUAAGAAGCACCGGCUAACUACGUG
rnacentral:rRNA from 1 species